GAUGAAGAACGUAGCGAAAUGCGAUAAGUAAUGUGAAUUGCAGAAUUCAGUGAAUCAUCGAAUCUUUGAACGCACAUUGCGCCCGUCAGUAUUCUGGCGGGCAUGCCUGUUCGAGCGUCAUUACGCCCCUCAAGUCCCCCGUGGACUUGGUGUUGGGGAUCGGCGAGGCUGGUUUUCCAGCACAGCCGUCCCUUAAAUUAAUUGGCGGUCUCGCCGUGGCCCUCCUCUGCGCAGUAGUAAAACACUCGCAACAGGAGCCCGGCGCGGUCCACUGCCGUAAAACCCCCCAACUUUUUAUAGUUGACCUCGAAUCAGGUAGGACUACCCGCUGAACUUAAGCAUAUCAAUAAGCGGAGGA
rnacentral:misc_RNA from 1 species